UACGUAGGUGGCAAGCGUUGUCCGGAUUUAUUGGGUUUAAAGGGUGCGUAGGCGGCUUAUUAAGUCAGUGGUGAAAUACUCUAGCUCAACUAGAGGGGUGCCAUUGAUACUGAUGAGCUUGAGUACAGAUGAGGUAGGCGGAAUUGACGGUGUAGCGGUGAAAUGCUUAGAUAUGACAUAGAACACCAAAUUGCGAAGGCAGCUGGCUACACAUAUAUUGACACUGAUGCACGAAAGCGUGGGGAUCAAACAGG
rnacentral:rRNA from 1 species